GAAGGAUCAUUAUUGAAUGAACUUGGUGUGGUUGUUGCUGGUCCUCUCGGGGGCAUGUGCACACCCAUCAUCCUCAUCUCUCCACCUGUGCACCUCUUGUAGACCUGGAUUGACUUUCCGAGGCAACUCGGUCGGGAAGAUUGCUGCACUCUGUGAGCCAGCUUUCUUUGCAUGUCCAGGACUAUGUUUUUCAUAUACCCCUAUAGAAUGUAACAGAAUGUAUCAUUGGGCCUUGUGCCUAUAAACCUUAUACAACUUUCAGCAACGGAUCUCUUGGCUCUCGCAUCGAUGAAGAACGCAGCGAAAUGCGAUAAGUAAUGUGAAUUGCAGAAUUCAGUGAAUCAUCGAAUCUUUGAACGCACCUUGCGCUCCUUGGUAUUCCGAGGAGCAUGCCUGUUUGAGUGUCAUUAAAUUCUCAACCUUAUUAGCUUUUGUUGAUAAUGGAUUGGAUGUGGGGGUUU
rnacentral:misc_RNA from 1 species